rnacentral:piRNA from 1 species
UGCAUUCAGGUUACUGCCUUGGCCUAGCUC